UGGCUCAGUGGUUAAGAGCACUGACUACUCUUCCAGAGGACCUGGGUUCAAUUCCCAG
rnacentral:tRNA from 1 species